CUAAAAGUAAAAUGAAAUCAUCUGGCCAGGCAGGCCCUGCGGGAGAAUCAAGCUUUGUAAUUAGAUUGAAGGCUCCUAGGAAACGAAGCUCUGUUGCAGGAAGAGCAUUUGCAGAAGCUAAUUGGGGGGCCUUUUAGAAAAUCUCACACCACUUCCUAGUUGGAGCAAUUAAACAAUAGAGAAGAUGGGUAUUCUGGAGCAGAAUUUAAUGAAACAGAACUCCACCAUCUAUGGCAAGUUUGACUGCUUGAGUCUCCAGAGGAUAAUAGUUGGAGGCCACUGAGGCCCAAAUUCAUCAGUCCGGCCAUUGAAGGACACAAGUGAACAAAGGAGGACGGCAAAGACAGAACUGUGAUAUUCAAACACUCAAUAGCUCACAGUGUCGGGGUUCAUUAUGACACUUACUAAGCACAUGCCAUAUUUCUGACACUGUGCUAAGAGUUUCAUGAACAUUAACUAAAUUAACCCCAUAAAAACGCCAUUAGAAAGAUGCAGUUUUGUACCCCCUUACACAGAUGAAGAAAAUAAAGUAUAGAGACUUUAAGAAAUUUGCCAGAAGUCUUAUAACUGAUUGGUUUGCCAUGGCUCUUUGAAACAGUUACUCUUGUCCUCAUUGUAGAGAUGGCGAUACUAAGGCAGAAUAUGGCUAGCCUGGACUUCUUUUUGUGGAGACUGGAUUCCAAGAUUGAAAGUAGAAGCUACAUGUUUUCUCCAAGCAGGGCUUUCAGACUUCACUUCUGCAACAUUUUAUUGAUGAAAGCAAGUCACAAGACCAGACUGAUUCAAGGGGUGGAGAAAUAGACCCUACUUCUUGAUGGAGGGAGGAGUAGAGUUACAUUGCAAAGGGAUCUGGACAAAAAAAGGAGUGAUUUAUUAGGAAUCAUGUUUAACAAUUUACCACAAUCCCCAGCGCAACUGCCUGUUAGCUGGAUCCAGAAAUGUCUACGACUACUGCAAUGCCACUUGGCCUUAGGGGUGAUGUGACCCAGUGUAAAGAGAUGGUGGUCUUAACCAAUCACAGUUAAGAUAGUUUAGUUUUGGAAGGUAUAAAAAAUAUGUAACAACAUGAAUGCACUUUUAGGGUCAGACAAGAGACUUGGAAAGAGCCUGCAAAAUGGAGGAGCCCUGAGGCCUAAGUCUCAUGAGUGUCAAUGCUUACCUGUAUCUAGACACUGGCAUCCCCCUUUUGAUAAGGCCAAGAUUGAUUGUUUUCCUUUUCUACCUACCCUAUAUCUAAUCCAUGUACAAACACUGUUGACACACAAAAGAACCCUAAAUUCAACAAUCUGUGAAGAAUUUUUGCACUAACAUGUUAGUUCAAAAACUCAACAUUGCUUGCUAAGACUAUUGCAAUAAACUCCUCUAUGAUCCCCUAAUUUGAUUCUUGCUCCUCUUAUUUUUUACACAGUCAUCAGAGUAAAUCUUUUCAAAGGUAAAUUGGAUUUUAUGACUUUU
rnacentral:lncRNA from 10 species